rnacentral:rRNA from 1 species
UUAGAGUUUGAUCAUGGCUCAGGACGAACGCUGGCGGCGUGCUUAACACAUGCAAGUCGAGCGAGGCCCUACCUUCGGGUAGGUGACCUAGCGGCGAACGGGUGAGUAACACGUGGGCAACCUACCCUCAGCUCUGGGAUAACCCCGGGAAACCGGAGCUAAUACCGGAUAUGACCUAAAAGGACAUCCUUUUUGGUGGAAAGUUUUUCGGCUGAGGAUGGGCCCGCGGCCUAUCAGCUAGUUGGUGGGGUCAUAGCCCACCAAGGCGACGACGGGUAGCCGGCCUGAGAGGGCGAUCGGCCACACUGGGACUGAGACACGGCCCAGACUCCUACGGGAGGCAGCAGUGGGGAAUAUUGCACAAUGGGCGAAAGCCUGAUGCAGCGACGCCGCGUGAGGGAUGAAGGCCUUCGGGUUGUAAACCUCUUUCAGCAGGGACGAAGCCACUCGGGUUAAUAGCCCAGAGGGUGACGGUACCUCCAGAAGAAGCCCCGGCUAACUACGUGCCAGCAGCCGCGGUAACG